rnacentral:tRNA from 2 species
GUAGAUAUAGCUUAAACAAAGCAUUAGAUUGUGAAUCUAAAAAUAAAGACUAAUUACCUUUUAUCUACC